UUCGCCUUCAUGAAGCCGGAAUUGCUAGUAAUGGCAGGUCAGCAUACUGCCGUGAAUACGUUCCCGGGCCUUGUACACACCGCCCGUCACACCAUGAGAGUUGGGGAUACCCGAAGCCUGUGAGCCAACUGUAAAGAGGCAGCAGUCGAAGGUAGAAUCAAUGAUUGGGGUGAAGUCGUAACAAGGUAGC
rnacentral:rRNA from 1 species